rnacentral:rRNA from 1 species
GAUGAACGCUAGCUACAGGCUUAACACAUGCAAGUCGCGGGGCAGCAUGGGGGUUGCUUGCAAUCCCCGAUGGCGACCGGCGCACGGGUGAGUAACGCGUAUCCAACCUGCCCUUCACCACGGGAUAACCCGGCGAAAGUCGGACUAAUACCGUAUGUUGUCCAUUGACGGCAUCCGAUUUGGACGAAAGGUUUGGCGGUGAAGGAUGGGGAUGCGUCCGAUUAGCUGGACGGCGGGGUGACGGCCCACCGUGGUGACGAUCGGUAGGGGUUCUGAGAGGAAGGUCCCCCACACUGGAACUGAGACACGGUCCAGACUCCUACGGGAGGCAGCAGUGAGGAAUAUUGGUCAAUGGGCGUAAGCCUGAACCAGCCAAGUAGCGUGCAGGAUGACGGACCUAUGGGUUGUAAACUGCUUUUAUGCGGGGAUAAAGUGGCCCACGUGUGGGUUUUUGCAGGUACCGCAUGAAUAAGGACCGGCUAAUUCCGUG